UCCCAUGUGGCUCAGUUGGUAGAGCAUGGUGUUUGCCACGCCAGGGUUGUGGGUUCGAUUCCCACGGGGGAC
rnacentral:tRNA from 1 species